UCCAGGCACAGGAUAGUACUAAAGAUUAUUUUCCUGCUGGGGCCAUGGGCAAGAAAAGGAAGAGGAAGAUUCAUGAUCAGAGGCAUAGUAAGGUACUAAGCCUCUGAGAAGGAUAGACAUGGGGCACGAGCUCAUGGAUCCUGUUUGUUCAUCAGCUCAGCUAAGGCUCCACCUCUACUACUGCCACACAAAUGCCCUGCCCCCAACAAUGAGAAACCAAGGGAAGCGUGCUUCUGUGCUAAAAUCAUAUAGAAAAGGAUUAUAAAAGAAAGCAGCAACUAAUUAUUAACAUCAGGUUCCUACUCAGGUCCCCAUAUU
rnacentral:lncRNA from 1 species